GAAAAUACCUCUAAGGAAUUUAUCAAAAAUAUGAACUUCGAAGAGGGUGAAGACUUUCUUUGUAGUAUCAUACCCGUAAACAAACACGUCUCCGGCCACGACGACCGACAGCCCAUGCCGUCGCACCACUACCAACAACGACAAUGAUUUAGGGUUCAAUCGAUAUUCAAUGAUUGAGGAAGAACCUGUGGUCCUUCCAACCUAGGAGAGUUGCGAGUGGCAGAAGUCGAGAGAAUAGUGGGGAUAGAGGAAAACAUCUACAUGCAUCUACAGUUCCUGAGGUUGGAACGGUGGGAAGCAUCAAGAACCGGAAUCAAGAAAGAGGAAGCGAAUAUGUGGAGCCCUAACCUAAGGCUGAACGGAGUGAAGGCUCGCUACCGGGUCGCGACUCUCGCUAAGAGGAAGAGAACACCGCCCCCUAGCGCUCGCUAGGAGGCUCGCUAAGGGAUGCUCGUCAACUCCAUGUCGAGAAGAAAGAGAAUGGACUGGAAGGAUGUGAUUGGUGCAAACGAUUUCUAGUUCUUCUCCUGGGAUUUCGUCAACGUGAGCUAAGGUCAUUGAAACAAACAUGAAGACAAGGUGUUUGAUGAAAUGCUCAAAUGAAAGAAAAAACAUUUUAUAGUGAUAUUGAACUACAUUUUCCAAAUUUGUAAUGUAUUGUUAUAUUUGGAACUAAAAUGAAGUUUGCAACGAAUUUAGAGCUUG